GACGAACGCUGGCGGCGUGCCUAAUACAUGCAAGUCGAACGCAGUGGGGACGGGUGAGUAACACGUGGGUAACCUCCCAUCAGAGGGGAAAACACUUGGAAACAGGUGAUAAACUGAUACUUCUGGAUGGUCACGAGGUGCAUUAGCUAGUUGGUGAGGUAACGGCCCAACAAGGCAACGAUGCAUAGCCGCCCGGAGGGGGUGAUCGGCCAGCCGGGGACGGAGACAAGGCCCAGAGGCCUACGGGAGGCAGCAGUAGGGAAGCUUCGGCAAUGGACGAAAGUCUGACCGAGCAACGCCCCGGGAGUGAAGAAGGUUUUCGGAUCGUAAAACUCUGUUGUUAGAGAAGCGGUAUCUAACCAGAAAGCCACGGCUAACUACGUGCCAGCAGCCGCGGUAAUAC
rnacentral:rRNA from 1 species